UUUGUGUCUAUGUAUCUGCCCUCGGGUCACCAGAAUCCGGCACAGGGAAAGUGCUGGGUGAAAUGACAAAACAGAGAGCCAGGUGGAGCCCCCUCCAGCCUGCCUUUGGUUUUGGUUUUACUUCACUAGGCACUGCCUGGAAGGGAGGAGAAACUCAGGAGACGGUGUGUUUUUGGACACGAUUGCUCCUUUCCUGUGACCUGUUUGCACUGGAAGCCCAGAGUUGGGGGUUUAGAUUUGCCGUGGAGGUGACACACGAAUCCGCCCUCUCAGGCCCUCUGGUCGAGCUCUGUCAGUGACUGUGGUCGAGGACAUCCCUGCACUUUUGACUGUCCCUACAAUCUGAGACGUGGACACUCAGAUCGAGUUGUGGCCUCUCCUUGGGACCAGUUAGGCUCCGAGUCAUCUCAGCCCACAUUCUGAGCAGCCUGAUGGCCCUGGCAAGCCUCAGGAUGGGGUCUCACAGGGGCCAGUCCUAAUUUACAGGCACCAAAGAGCUCCUCUCACUUCAAAUAAAGGACCCCAAUUUUCUCCAGAGAGAUGAGCAGUCUGGUUAAAAAAAAAUUUUUUUUUUUUUGCUGGUAAAGAAUAGCACAGCCUAGAACAAAGUUUUAUUUAGGUUAACUCUUAAAAAACAAAACAAAACACCAAAAAGCAAAACACAUUAAAAACUUUAUUGUUAAGUACCACGCAUGUCUAAAUUUGCAUCAGUUUGAAACACUUCUGCUGGCUUUGCAGAACACAAUAGUUGCAAGUUUCUUUAAAUCUUAACAGUCACCUGCUUUAGGUCUUUCCAGGCUCGUCUGUUCCGGCCUCCCCCUCCUACCCGUGGUGGGGUCAGUCUACUCUGCCCCACGCUGACAUCGGGUCACCCCUGGGCCAGUGGGAAUCUGCUUCUAGAGGGGUUGGCCCUGCAGCUAGGGCGGCCUGUACUCCUCGAGGAAGCCCUCUCUUCUUCUUGUUUUCUCUUUGUCCCAUUUUUACUCCCAGCCCAAGUGGCUAACU
rnacentral:lncRNA from 1 species